rnacentral:rRNA from 1 species
UCUGCUCAAUGAUUUUUUAAAUUGCUGUGGUAUUUUGACUAUACGAAGGUAUUGAAAUAAGAUUUUAAAUGAGUGCUAAGAGAAUGGUUGAACAAUUAAAGACUUUCUUUAUUUAAAAAAUUAAAUUUAAUUUUUUAAAGCGCAAAAGCAAAAAUGAAAAUUUGGGACAAGAAGACCCUAUGAAUUUUUAUUUAUUUUAAUAAUUAAUAAAAAUUAUUAAAAUAAAUUUGAUUGGGGCGAUGGAUAAAGAGUAAAUAUCUUUAUUUAAAUUAAAAAAU